GCUGGCGGUAUGCCUAACACAUGCAAGUCGUACGAGAGUUUUUAACUCAAGUGGCGGACGGGUGAGUAACACGUGAGAAUCUACCUUUAGGAGGGGGAUAACAACUGGAAACGGUUGCUAAUACCCCAUAUGCUUUCGAGUGAAAUGGAUUUAUCCGCCUAGAGAGGAGCUCGCGGCUGAUUAGCUUGUUGGUAGGGUAAUGGCCUACCAAGGCGACGAUCAGUAUCUGGUUUGAGAGGACGAUCAGACACACUGGAACUGAGACACGGUCCAGACUCCUACGGGAGGCAGCAGUGGGGAAUUUUCCGCAAUGGGCGAAAGCCUGACGGAGCAAUACCGCGUGAGGGAAGACGGCCUAUGGGUUGUAAACCUCUUUUCUCAGGGAGGAACUCAAUGACGUGUACCUGAGGAAUAAGCAUCGGCUAACUCCGUGCCAGCAGCCGCGGUAAGACGGAGGAUGCAAGUGUUAUCCGGAAUCACUGGGCGUAAAGCGUCUGUAGGUGGUUUAAUAAGUCAACUGUUAAAUCUUGAAGCUCAACUUCAAAAUCGCAGUCGAAACUAUUAGACUAGAGUAUAGUAGGGGUAAAGGGAAUUUCCAGUGGAGCGGUGAAAUGCGUA
rnacentral:rRNA from 1 species